GGUGUUUCAUUACUUUGACUUGAGGCUUAAUGUGGUCUCUUUCUGUUAGGGCCUAGGCCUUGUGCCAAGACUGUUGAGAUGCAAAUAUCCCCCUUCAUUGGUUUACUUAUUCAUUCACUCAUGCAUUCAUUCAACAAGCAGUGAGUGGCAGACACUGGGGAAACUGAGACACAGCAGGGCCCCAGCAGGGCUUUCUGGGAGGAGGAGCUGCUGGCAGAGCAGAGACAGGGAGGCUGGCAGUUAGGGUGCCUGAGACCCUGCAGGAAUAAGAAGUGGCCGGGAAAAGAGGCGAGUGGGAGGGGCAGGGUGGCUGCAUUGAAACCAGGCGUAAUUGGGCUUCAUUGAUUCUAUGUUAAUGCCGCUGGAGCACGCAGUGCUCGGCAGAAGGACCCAGCCGGGCCGGGUGGAUGCUCUGAGGCAAACAAAGCCCUCUUUGGGGACUUUGUUACUACAGGGAGAGCCAAGGAGGGUCCAGGAAUGAAACCAGUGGCUGUUUGAGGCCCACAUUCUCCGGGUGGAGUGAGUGGCGGGGGUCCAGGUAGUCCAGGAAAUAAACACGAGGUGUGACGCAGCCUGUGGGUGUCAUAGGCCGGGGAGCCUUCUGGGACUGUCCCCAGGCUGGGCCUCACAUGGGGAGAUCGGGCCCUGGGGGGCAGCGGGAGCAGGGUGCACAGUGCACCAGCAGAUGAUACAGUGUUCAAGGCACCAUCUCGGAAGCAGAGAAACCGGGUCCCAACCCGCCAGCACCUUGGACUUCUCGGCCUCCAGAAGUGUGAGCAGAUGUGUUUCUUCCUUGUAAAUCACCUACUCCCAGGUAUUCUGUGACAGCAGCACACAAGGGGCUAAGACAGCUGUGAACCUGAUUCUCCCCAGAACA
rnacentral:lncRNA from 1 species